AAGCAACGCGAAGAACCUUACCAGGUCUUGACAUCCCGAUGCUAUUUCUUAGAGAUAGAAAGUUACUUCGGUUACAUCGGUUGGACAGGUGGUGGCAUGUUGUCGUCAGCUCGUGUCGUGAGAUGUUGGGUUAAGUCCCGCAACGAGCGCAACCCCUAUUGUUAGUUGCCAUCAUUCAGUUGGGCACUCUAGCGAGACUGCCGGUAAUAAACCGGAGGAAGGUGGGGAUGACGUCAAAUCAUCAUGCCCCUUAUGACCUGGGCUACACACGUGCUACAAUGGUUGGUACAACGAGUUGCGAGUCGGUGACGGCGAGCUAAUCUCUUAAAGCCAAUCUCAGUUCGGAUUGUAGGCUGCAACUCGCCUACAUGAAGUCGGAAUCGCUAGUAAUCGCGGAUCAGCACGCCGCGGUGAAUACGUUCCCGGGCCUU
rnacentral:rRNA from 1 species